rnacentral:lncRNA from 1 species
GAGGGAACUCGUUAGAAAUGGGGAAGAAUAGUGUUGAAGACUCUGGAAUGUUUUGGUGAUGACUGGCUAAAAUAGUACGAUGGGAGAAUAAUUUUGCAAUUGGUGAUAUUAUUCCAUUUUAGGGCUUCACUUGAUUAGAGAAUAAAAGCAAAGUGCCAGUUUAAUUUUUUAAAUGACGGCUCCCUUCCGUGUGAGUGGUCAAGUCUGCAUGCUGACUGCUACCUUUAUUUAUUUUGUUGAUUUAGUUUCUCUUUUCUUUUUUAAUGUGGUGCUGGGGAUCAGACCCAGUGCCUCACAUGUGCUAGGCAAGCGCUCUGCCACUGAGCCCCAACUGCAGGCCCUCUGGGUGCCAAUUGUGAAGAGGAGUUGAGCUUGGUCUGGAGGGCUGGAGGUUUAUAUGCUGGGGACAUUCUCUCCCAGCUUGGGGACUUCCACUCACUCUGCCCUUGGUUUUCUCCUUCCUGCCCCUCUUACCCUUUGGAAGUUCCCUGCAUCCAUGUGGGCCACCCCCACUCUCCAGCCAGCAAAACAGACCUCCAUUCCUGGGAGGUCCAUCCCCACUUUCUACCCGGGACAUUGCAGGGGGAGGGAGGCAGGGGGGACACCCCACUACAGAAACCCUGGAACCCUGUUCCCCAAACAGGGAGGUUGUGACUUAUGAGCACACGGGUGUCCCAGGAGGCUCCGGUGGGUUUGAAGUGCCGUGAGUGCUCUUUGGCCUCGCGGAUAGGCACACUUUACACAGAGCAGUCCACCGGUGAGCAAUGAUGACAAAGAAAGGCCAGGCUCUCCCAAAGGUUCUCAAGACACUGUGCCCUGAAAUGUGGCGGAUUUCUGUGCACGGGGACACUUGUGUGAUGUAUAUUUAAGCAUGCUCUCUCUUGUGAUCAUGCAAAAGGCAGAUUCUUCCUUGCUUCUUUUAUUCCUGGAGGAAAGAUGGGAUGCUUUGUAGGCGGCAUUCUUAGUCUUCUGGAUGAUGCAGGGAUUGCAAGAGAAAGGCUCCCGCUGACCCUGCCUUGCUCAGCCAGCAUUUUCCUUCCAGGGGGAGAGGUGCCAGGGACAUAGCACAGCUUAUUUCAGAUGAGAAGGUCUUGUAAGGAUCUGGGAGGAAAUGACCAUGAACAUCCUGACCUGUCAGCCCUGUGGUUUUUGUGGAGCCUGUGUGUGGAAUUUGGAUUCUCCACGGGUGCUGGUGCUGGAUGAUUCCAGGUCUGUUGGCCCCAUCUGGUGUUCAGUAUCCAGUCAACCACAGAACUGCUUGAAAAGUGUGGUUCUUUCCAAAUACAGAUUUGCUCCUUUCAAACAAAAAACAAAACCAACUUUUAAUAGUGAAUUUAGAUUAUAAAUAUGUCCCAGUUCAAUUAAAUUCUUAAGCUACUAGAGGUUCUGCAUACCUAUAAUUCAUCUACCUGUAUGUUAAGUGACAGUGAGUUUUGUACAACAUAGAGGGUAUGUAUACAGCACUCAUCUUUUAAAUUGAAUCAAGAGGGAUUGGAGUUAGAUAUAAAGAAGAACUUUUCCACCGUGCUGUAAGAUUUGUAGCCCAAUGGCUUGAGUGGGAGAUAACAUCUCUUUUGGGGAGCUUUUAACUAAGGGGCUCAGUUGUUGUCCUUGUUUUACUCUGUAGACAACACCCUUGCCUGAAAAGAAAGACUGGAUUCAGCUCAGUGUGUUUCAAAUGUUAACAAGCCACCUUCACAAUUUUUACUAGCUUUGAGUGACACCUUUAGCAAUGUUAAGACAUUUCUUUCAAUUGAUUUAUUCUUUUAAUUUAAGCCUUUAUUCGGCUCAAGCAAUGAAACAUAUUGUAUCAGUGAAAUUGGUUUGAUGGGGCUGGGGGAG